ACAAAUGUUUUAAAUGCUACACUCAUGAUCUUAUUAUCCAUCCACUUUGUCUUGCUCACUAUGCUUAAGGUUAGAGAAGAACAAAUACACUUUUGGUUCUGUUGGUGUUUUCCACCAACAGGGCCCAUGCACUUGAUCUCUGCAUUGUCUCUAUGAGUAGGUACACUUCGAGCAAAAUAUGGCGUUUUACAACUUCUAGACUCCACCAAGUGAAGAACCUAGAUCUACGAGCACAAACACACUAGAGAUACUGGACACUUAGGCAAUCACUACCCUGAGAUGCUUGAGGACGUAACUAUUGGAGUAACCCCGUUAUGGAAGUAAUUACUGACCUUCUGCCGGUCAAGAGAGGCGAUCCAGGACGUACCGUCAUCCCGAUCUCCAUCGGCAUGGUGAACUUCCCAGAAGCACUCUGCGAUUUUGGCUCCAGCGUCAACAUUAUACCCAGGGUACUCUAUGAAAAAUUCUUUACACAUCCUUUAUUAGAAACAACCAUGUGUUUGCAGCUUGCAGAUUGGACACUCAAAGGGAAUAUUGAAAAACCUUUGCAUCCGAGUUGGUACCUUGUAUGCCCCAGCAGACUUCGUGAUGAUAGAGACUGGUAUUGAUGAGAGGGCACCCAUCAUCUUAGGGAGGCCAUUCCUGAACACCUCGGAAGCUGUCAUCUAUGCUAGUGCUGCCAAGAUCAGUUUCUACAUCAAGGGGAGGAAGGAGACGUUUUCCUUCAAGAACAAGACUACACAAAUCUCAGAGUAAUCCCGACAUGAACCAAGGAAGAGGACCAACAGGAGGAACAAGAACAAGCAAAUGUAGACCGAGUCAGCUAAGAUGGUCACUACAGUUCAAGGAGGUCAAGAUCGUCGACUUAAGUCACUGUUCCUGACCAAAAAGGACGACCCAGUCACCUAUAAGCUCCUGUUCAGAGCCAUGCCCCUAAAACUGACAUACAUUCAGCUCCAGAUGGCAGAUCAGACAUUCCAAAAGGUUGAAGGUAUAUUAACUGAUGUCCCUAUCAAAAUAGAUGAUCAUUUUGUCCAUACAGAUUUUUAGAUUAUUGACAUGGGAGAAGACGAGUAGGAUCCACCCAUCAUCCUUGGGAGACCGUUCCUCAGUACCGUUAAAGCAAUCAUCUACAUUGGAUCCAGUGAAGUCCACAUGCACUUCCCCUCUAAGAAGAUACGCCGCAAUUUUAUUGACCUUAACUAUAUAGUUGAAGGCUCUAAGCAGGUCAGGACAAGAAGAAGACAAUGUAACCGCAACCAGAGAAGGCAAAUCAUCAAGGACGGAUGGGCAGACUACGAAGGAGAAGUGGUAGGGUCUGAAGACAUACUACUUGAACAGAACUGUCCUGAGGAGAUCGUAGCAUCGAGUCAGAGAGAAAAGAUAGUUAUACACGAAGAGGAAGCGCCGCCGGAACCACCGACUACGCCACCCAGCGAAUCCCAGGACGACUGAGAAAACGGAGAGUCCGGUUCGGAGGACUUAAAAACACCGAACGCCUUGCCAAGAGGUGAACUUGGUAGUUAUCUUUUUUCCUUUCAAUUAUUUAAAAUAGUUUGCUUAGUUAAUUAGGUUCAUAUCAUCUUGAAAAGAAAAUAAAAAUGUUAAAAAUAGUAAGCCCCAUGUGAGUAUGCUCAUGGCAUAAAAUACAUAAGGACAUUCACUGUGGUGGCGUAAAAAUGAAAAAAAUAUAUUCAUGUCCUAUAAAAAUAAAAUUAUAAAAAUAAAUUUAUAAUCCUACUAAAGAGAGUAACAUUUAUUGAGAAAGCUCAACAUGAUAAAGGCUAGAUAUUUAUGCUAACACUUAACCGGUUCCACAAAGCUUUGUUGUCAAUUUGAGCUCCAUAGAAUUCAAGGAUCAAAGAAGACUAGCUGACAGAGGACAUCCUAAUCUCUCUCAGGGUGCUGCUGAUAUUCAAAUACACCUCCACCAUCUGCUAGCUACAUCAGAAGAAAUUACGUCAAAAUCCAGCUUGGGGGAGAGCACUCCCAUUUAUCCAGUUAAGUGUUCUACCCAUGUUUAUACUUUACUCAAAUAAUAAAAAGAUGCAUAAUCAUAAAAACCCAAAUAAAGAUUUUGUGCUUAUAUAUAUAUCUUUGCUUAGUUUGCUAAAUAAAUAAAUAAAUAAAGUUUGCUAUGAACCCUCAUGAUAAGCUCUCACAUGGAAAUGAUGAAUAGUUGCUCUGCCAUGACUAGUUCUCAAAAUUGAAAUCUCUCUCAAGUUUAGGCAUGACUGUUAUUAAUUAAGAUUUGCUCUAAACCUGAACUUGUGGGAAGAGUACUUGAUCUAAAGUCUAAGUCGUUAACAGAUAUGAUAUGGGAAGGUUGAGCUGUUAUUUAUCUGUUCCUAGAGAUGCUAGAAUUGUGGAUAAUUUUAUCUUUGAAAAUAUUUAAAAUGUUACAUGAUGAGUACCUGUAUGAUGAGAGUUUAAAAUCCUACCACAGCCAUAUAUACAUGCUUAUUAGACUAUGAACCAUACAUUUACUUUACUGCUUAUGAGCAUUGAGUGUGGUCGAGCUGUGUAGACCCUUAGGAGCUUGUCAUGCGGUUAAAAUCAAGAUUCACUUACACGUUCACUCGUACAUGCUGCUUCUACUCUGGAAGUAUGCAUCCACAUACAUCCACUCAUUUCCAUAUCCAGAUUCACCCAAAAUUAUUCUACUCCUAUCUAGGAGAGAAUAGCCAAAAAUAAUAUCCUAUCCCUGUUAUUCCCUGUGAAAUAAAUGCUCAAGUUAUCUUGGUUACUACCACUUGCUACAUUAUUUCAAGAGAUGAGUGCUCUUAAAAAAAAAGAAGAUACGAGGAAAUAAAAAUGGGCAAGUCACCGGAACCUCGAAAGAAAAGAAAAAGUGAGACGAGAGGUAAAAAUGGACAAGUGUCCGACAGUAGAAUUAGGGGUACAAGAUACCCACCUGAGAGAAAAGAAAAAGAAAAUAUAGAGCAUCUCAUUCUCCUCAAAAAGUUUCAAAAGAGCAAGAAAGGUAUGCAUCCACUCAAAAGAGCACAAGUAGAAUUAGACUUUCACCAUUGUUAUCACCAUCAUUACCAUACACCAUUCAUUUGCCACACAUGCACAUCUUGAUUUGACUUAUUGACUUGUUCUUCUGGAUCCAUGGUUUGACUAUGCAAUAAAUGUCUUGUAAGUAUGUAUUAGCUGUCUCCCACCUAUGAGCUCCAGAUAUCAAAACCUUAUUAGAGUAGGGUGAGAGAGAAGGCAAUGCCACUAUGCCUCAUACCAAAAAUACCACAUACUUUGAGAGAAGGCAUACACCAUUACUGCCUUGGUAAGGAUCUAGAAAUACCACAAAAGAGAGACUAGAGAGAGUCAUACAAGGAAUCUCUGUGUUUUAUUGAAAAUCUGCAAAAACUCCAGAGCUAUAGUUAAUCGAAUAACAAGAGACAUGGCGCUUGAUUAGACCGUUCUAUCUUUUAACUGCUCAAGACACAAGUGACGGUUACAAGCCCCAUGGAGAUAGGUAAAAUGAGUUUUAAGUCUUGGCAGUUUACCCUACCCAGAAAUGAGAUCUUGUUUGAACGCAUGUGUACCUUUAAGGCAUGAAACCACUGCAGAAACUCUUGGGUUCAUCUUUGCUCAGGGACGAGCAAAGGUUAAGCUUGGGGGAGCUUGUUGACGGUCCUUAAUGCUCACAUUUAACCAUCAACUAAUCAUGGAAAAGGAUCCAAAUGCAACAAACACUUAGACUUAGGGUUUUAUCUGACAGAAUUCCACGAGUUUGGUGUUUGUCUAUUUCUGCAGGGGGUUAUCAGGAAAUACGGAAGAAUGGCCC
rnacentral:lncRNA from 1 species